CACAAAUUGGAAAACUUAAACAGAAACCCCCACAUCACUGGGAAUUCUGCUGAACUUUGCUGAUUUGGUGAACUUCACUUAUAAACAUUUAUCAUUCACUCCAGUGGACUGAAGAACCCUGAGCAAUACAAAUGAAGUGUCAGGAGAAAAGACAAAUAUUUUCUCUAUCUAAUCUGAAGCUUGAUCCAGGCCAGAGGCAUUUUUAUGCCUAUGGCAGGAAACUAUCUUCCAUAUUUCAUUUAAAGCAGCAAUUAACGGGUUCAGAUUAAUUAUCCAUUUGUAGCCUAGCUCAUGUUUUAUUGUUCACUUUAAACUUUUCAGAUUCUCAUUCUUAUCUUCCAAAAUGACAUCCAAGUAAUCCUUGAGCAAAGCCUGAGUCCUUAUUCAUUCCUCUGCCUCCUUCACUGGAGCUCAUCCCCGAAAUAUAGUAGCUACACUGGUUUUGGAGUUGUUUUACCCUGUGCUCACAGCUGACAGCUCUGCUGGUGAAAGUAAUUAUUCUGACGAACUGGAACAUCACAAAGCUCAGGAAGGACCUUAACAUUUAAUCCACCGCAGUCGCUCAUACUGUGCUAUCAGCAGCAAGAAGGUGCGACCAGGUUACAGUGAUCACUGAAGCUCCAGAGAAUGCUUCACAUAACAACAGCCAGACUAUGGUAGCAGAGGAUGGUAUCUUCUGGAUUAAAAAAAAGGAAUUAACAUAAUACAGGUGUAUGAGAAAAGUUUCAAGCGUUCUGUCUGCCACCGACUUUAAACUUUUUUCCUACAUUUCUUUGCUUUAGAGCUUUUAUUGUUUGCUACUUUUUCUGCCAAAUUAUAAUUACUUUAAAUUGUGCUCUCAAGACAUAACAAAAUCCCAAAGGUAAUUCUGCAUAAACAUCAACAGUGGUACGUAGUGGAUUCUACAACAGUAACGCAUCUAACAAGUCAUAUGCCUAAACCCAAGUUACAGGACAAAGGAGAAGAGCAGCAAGCUAAAUGUGAGUAGGGCAACAGAAGGUCUAAUAUUGACUGUUAUACAUCUCUAUACCACAACAUAGCUACAAAUACAACAGGCAUCCAUUAUAUGGUAGAUUUCUACUGUAUUUACACUGAAACACAUUCAUUCUUAUACCAACUUUCUAAAUAAUCAGCUUGUCACUUCAUUAGCAAUUCCUAAAGACUCAUGCAAUGACUUCUCUUUGCUGUGUAUCCGCAACCAAGUGUACCAGGCACACAUACAAGUAGGGUUUAUUUUCCUACCCCAGAAGUAUUAUGAACCUAAAUGCAGCAUGGAAAUAAAUUGACCAGUUAUGCCUCUUGUCUAGAUCACUCUGAACAAACUGGAAACUAAGGAAAAUCACUCAUUCAGUCUGUCAGAGGCUUUCAAAGUAAUUAUUAACUCAAAUCUAAAAAAUCUAAAAUUUGCUGCAAUUAAGUUAGCUGCCUCAGAAUCUGACAUGAAGCACAAUCAUAUGCUCUUAAACAUCCAGAGCUGUGGGCAAAUAAGAGAUCCUAGAUAUAAUAUUAUUAUUUUUUACGGAAAUGUUAAGAAACUUCUAAGUAUCUUUUUUCUGGAGAUGUCUUUGUUGGAUCAGAAAAUGUUCCAACUUAGGAUCCAUUAUUACUGAGGUACUUUAUAAUCUACACAACAUAUUGUGAUGCUUAAGAACAGGUUUCUUUAAUUGAGGAAUUUGGCAGUAAUUUGAAUGAGGCAGUAGGUAAAAAAUUGCUGUGAUUCUAUUGGAAAGAGAGCUCCCUUGCAGCCAUGAGAGCAAAUCACCAUGGAAACUUUUUGCUAAGAUGAUAUUAAAGCACAGCACAUACACUUACAUCUCUCCUUUUGUAAUAAGCAGUAUUUUGUGAUACAGUCUGGAGUGACUGAGUAAAAGGGCUAUUUGCACAGCAAGAGACCAGGACUUACUCAGGACUACUGCAGAAUUUUGUUAUGCUCUGGAGCUGGCCAGUUGACAGUAUAUCUUGUUACAGAAGAAAAGCAUUAGGAGAUGAAUGGAUCUUAUCCAACCAACUUGAUAAAGUCAAGUUGAUAAACACACAGGAAAAAUAGGUUUGUGACCUGGCCUCAAACUAUUUUAUCACCAUGAGAAGCUAACUGAGUGUUUUCAUGUUGUCAUAGAAUGAUCUGUUUUUCCAAUCAGGAUAAACCAAGCUCAUACGCUCCACUGAAGUUGUAGUAUCUUCUUACCUUCCCUCAUAUAAACACCAAGUCUAGUAUUUAACAGGAGAGCAGCGCCCCUCCAGGGUGAUCUUGUGCCUCUGGCUUUCACAACACAAGUAUGUCUCCUCAGACUCUGCACUGGGAUUUGAUUACCCUCUGCAUAAAGUCAUACAUGUGUUUACAAAUAUAUCACAUUAGGACCCAAAUGAAGAAAUCUUUUUCUUCUGUGUUAAGGCCAAAAUUUGAGACAUCAUUCACACCACUUUGAUCACUCUCAGUUUGCAGAAGAGCUCUGCACAAAACCACAGGAGCACACAGGAAGACAUAUGCUGUCUUGAAUCUGAUGACACCAGUCGUAACACGUUCCUUAUUCUCUACAGAAUACUAAUCAAGUCUCAGCAAGCAUCCUGUUUUGAGUUUUAUUAUGGUUUUGUCAUCUUCUUGUCAUAGUUUUAUAUGUAUCAGCCAACACUGCAUGCCCAGGAGUCCUCUCUUUCUGUAGCUUUAUCCCAACAUAAUUUCUAUUAGAGCCAAAAUCAUAAUUUGUUGGUCAUAAAUGAAAAACAGACUUUGUUAAACAACUCUACCUGCCUUAUCAAAAAUUAAACUGCAGAAGAAAG